rnacentral:rRNA from 1 species
GACGUAGGGCGCGAGCGUUGUCCGGAUUUAUUGGGCGUAAAGAGCUCGUAGGCGGCUUGUUUGCGUCGACUGUGAAAAACCCGCGGCUUAACUGCGGGCUUGCAGUUGAUACGGGCAGGCUAGAGUUCGGUAGGGGAGACUGGAAUUCCCUGGUGUAGCGGUGAAAUGCGCAGAUAUCAGGAGGAACACCGGUGGCGAAGGCGGGUCUCUGGGCCGAUACUGACGCUGAGGAGCGAAAGCGUGGGGAGCGAACAGG